GGCAGAGGUGCCAAGCGUUAGGCGGAAUCACUGGGCUUAAAGCGUGUGUAGGCGGGUGCCUAAGUACCUUGUGAAAUCCCACGGCUCAACCGUGGAACUGCUGGGUAUACUGGGUGCCUUGGGUCAUCUAGGGGCUGCCGGAACAAAUGGUGGAGCGGUGAAAUGCGUAGAUAUCAUUUGGAACGCCAACGGCGAAAGCAGGCAGCUGGGGAUGCACCGACGCUGAGACACGAAAGCCAGGGGAGCGAACGGG
rnacentral:rRNA from 1 species